UACGUAGGGUGCGAGCGUUGUCCGGAAUUAUUGGGCGUAAAGAGCUUGUAGGCGGUCUGUCGCGUCUGCUGUGAAAUCCGGGGCUCAACCCCGGACUUGCAGUGGGUACGGGCAGACUAGAGUGUGGUAGGGGAGACUGGAAUUCCUGGUGUAGCGGUGAAAUGCGCAGAUAUCAGGAGGAACACCAAUAGCGAAGGCAGCUCGCUGGGA
rnacentral:rRNA from 1 species